UACGAAGGGGGCUAGCGUUGUUCGGAAUCACUGGGCGUAAAGGGCGCGUAGGCGGCUUUGUAAGUCGGGGGUGAAAGCCUGUGGCUCAACCACAGAAUUGCCUUCGAUACUGCAUGGCUUGAGACCGGAAGAGGUUAGUGGAACUGCGAGUGUAGAGGUGAAAUUCGUAGAUAUUCGCAAGAACACCAGUGGCGAAGGCGGCUGACUGGUCCGGAUCUGACGCUGAGGCGCGAAAGCGUGGGGAGCAAAC
rnacentral:rRNA from 1 species